rnacentral:rRNA from 1 species
UGCCAGCAGUCGCGGUUACACCAAGAAGUCAAGUCAUUCUGAUUGAUGGUUAAAAGGCAGUUAGGCUUUAAAUAAAUUUGUAUUUAAGUUGUUUAAUGUUCUAUAUAGAAGUAAAAUUUAGAUAUGGUUUCAUAAUUUAAUAAUAGCUUAGAGGAGCUGAAUCUGUGAAAUUCUUGAGGGAAACUGGGAUUAGGUACCCCAUUAUUCUUGAGGGUAAAUCGCAUGAACUACCAGAGUACUAUGAAUGAUUAAAUUUAAAACUCAAAGGACUUGGCGGUGUCUUAGACCAUUUAGGGGAACCUGUCUCGUAAUCGACAAUCCACGAUAUACCUGACCUUUUUUUGUUAUCAGUUUGUAUACCGUUGUCGUCAGGUAACUUUUUAGAAGGAUGAAGUUAGCAAUAUAAAUAGAUUAUUUUAUACGUCAAAUCAAGGUGCAGCUAAUAGAAAGGGGAGGAUGGGUUACAAUUAUUUAUUUGUAAUUACGGAAGCAAAAUAUAGAAAUAUGUUGCAUAAGGAGGACUUAAAAGUAAAUUAAAAUAUAUAAGUAAUUUGAAUGAGGCUCUGAGACGUGUACACAUCGCCCGUCACUCU